rnacentral:lncRNA from 1 species
ACACCUAGUGUAGUUAGAAGUUCAUGACAGAAAAAAAUUGAAAGCCUUAUUCAGAACAAACAAUAGUGACAGUAGAUAUAUUUUCACGUUUGCAUAUGGCAUAAUUAGGUCACCAGUUACACCGUCAAUGUCUCGCUCUUCUGUGCACACAAAUUGUCUAUCAAUAUCUUAUGCUCGAUGUUUGGUAAUUUGAAAGCUACGAAUCCUCUGAUAGCAAUUGUUUUUGGGGUGAUUGAGGCCCAAAUUCUAUAUUUUGACUAUGGGCUCAUUUAUCAAUCGAGAAGGAAAAAAAAAAGCAAAAGAACAAAAAAAACAGAGAAAAUAAACACAAUUGUUUUUUCACGAAAAAAUGAUAUCUACAUUAUGUGGAUAUAGUUGCAUGCUUCGAAAUCUAUCGAGUAUCCGUCAAUAAUAAAUUGAUAUAAUUCAUAACACGGCAUUUCAUUAGGAUCGGAAACAUUUAGGCCGGACUUCCUUAGUAUGAGUUUGGAUGUGUCCAAUUUUAUAACAAGAGAAUUUCAAACCUAAUAUUUACACGUAUUCUAUAAUUUUUCUGUUACUUCCAACAUUGUUUAGUUUAUGAUAGAACCAUUGUUGAACACUCAAACAUAGGUCUUUAGCUUUUAUGAUAAACCGGUCAAACCACUAGAACGACUACAAAUUGGUCGCCUGUCUAAUUUGCUAAUGUUUUUUUAUCUGUUCUUAUUAACACCUUUUUUAAAAAAAAAAAAACUGGCCUUCAUCUGUCCUUAUUAACACCAAUGUCACACCCCCAAAAUGCGAACGCAUAACCUCUAAUUAUUUUGACAUCAUUUUUUCACAAACCCCAAUAGACAAAUCAUAACGAUGGAAACACAUAAGUAAACAGUCCAAAAUGGAUGUAUGUAGUUGGAAUCAGUCUGAGUUUUCGUGAAGUACGUUUGUAUCAAAUGCACAACCAAUUCUGACUGAUUCACGUUUUGUUUUUCUCAGAUAUUUAGCCUAUAAUUCGUCGUUGCUCGAUAUUUUUCCUUUUUAAAGUACUUGUUACAGAUUUCGAUUAGCCAUAGAUUUUAUUGGAAUCUACUUUUUCAGGCUACAAUACGAUUUAUUUAGUUCUUUGUUUUGUGCGGACAAGUGUGGUUUGUCUACGUUCUUGAUGCUUUUCAAAAAUUGAUGUAAACUUUUCGAAAGGGACUAUCUUUACGUAACUGAUAAAUUAUUUAACUAGAAUUUGUUAAAAUUAUAGUCUAAAAAAUGGACGUUAAAGACGAGUCACGAGAGGGGAUUUUUGUUUAAUAGUUAUUUUUUGUAAAAGUGGAUGGAGGGGAGCUAGUGGGAGACGAGUGGCAAAUAAUUUACUUUUCAAGUACCAGUUUUAUUUUGUUUUAAUAUUAAGUGAUCAAAAUAUUUCCGAUUGCAUAAUGACUAACGAUAGAGUAACAUAUAAUUCAAUAGUUUUCAACCACCAUAAUAUUUUCUGUAUAAUCUUUAUUUCUAAAUUAAUUUGCAGUUUUCUGAAGUUUUCUUCUUUAGUAAUGCCAUAUUAAUUCAUAUAAAUUAGAAGACAAAUUUUGACUUGAACCAAUAUUAUUAGUUAAAUUUAAUCUUGAAAGUUUUUAAUGAGACUUUUAUCGUGACUGGAAAAUAUAUUUUUUGUUUGAUACAAAUACUAAAGAAAAAUGACAGUUGGAUACUUGCAUGUAUAUAUCAAUAUAUGUAUCUACUUAGGGAAUUAUUUUUAUUUUUUCUCUCUUUGAUUCGCAUUGAAAUCAAUUUGGUGGGACACACCAUGAGAACUAUGAUAGGACCCUUGACUAAUACUCAGUUAAUAAAUCUUAAUUGUUUUUCUGAUGAGAGUGACAUUUCCGAAAGUAUGCUUUGGACCACUUUUAAGGUCUAUUCCCAACUUAUCUUGAACCAAAUAAAAGUAUUAUAUCUAUUGAUAUAUGUAUAUAUAUCUUAUAAUAAUACAAGCCCUUCGAUUCGAUAUAUUAUUUAAGUCUUCGAGUUAUUUGAUCAAUUUGGUUUAGUUUAUUACUAACUUUGUAUAUAUAGAGUGAUAUAUAAAGAUGUUGUACCAUGGUAUCGAAGUUAAUCCAGUAUUCAUAAUUCUCCAAUUCUGCUUUUAAAAAGGUGACAAAAACAAAAGUUAUUUCUGAUUUUUUUGUUGUCAAAGAAAAUGUUCUACCGAUAUUUUGCGGUAAAUAUAGUUAACGAUUUAACGCAUAUAGAUCUACGACCCAUUAUUAUUCUAUUAUAUUUAGUAUUAUUCUUCGAUUUGAAGUAAUUAAAAAUGAAACAGGGUCUUAAAUUUUCCGAUGUUACCUAAAAAUACAAAUACGGAAUUAACCAUGUGGGUAUGUGACAUAAGAGACAAAACACAAUGAUGCCAUGCCACAGAACCGUCGAAGAGCGUAGGUAGUUUUUUGACCGAAUACCUUAAACAAGAAACUGUUUUGAGAAAUAUCAAAGUUUGUGUGAGACAAGAAAAUUAUAAAGGACUUUAAACAUUCGUGCUUAUAUCUACAGUUCGAUUUUUAUUUAAAGAAGAGUUUUUUGGUCACGUCGAUCGAAAAAAGUGAUAAUUAUUUUGUUACUCCUUUACGGGCCAGAAAAAUUCACAUUACUAUUUAUAUAAUAUAUAUAUAUAUAUGCUGGCAAUGGAAAUCGAACCUGGAUUAGAUACCAAAAACAUCUUUGAAAAUCAAACCCUCAGGAUUAGACACAUGGGACAGUACUUUUUGCUAAUACUGGUGAAAAAAUCGUAAAAUUAUGCAUUGUUUUUAGUGUUUAAUAUUUCUUCCAUUUCAUAAUAAGUAUCAUGACAUUUAAUUACAAAGAAAUUAAUACAAUAUACAAAUAUACUCCUAAUUAAUAUACUUUUAUAACAUUUAAUUACAAAGACUAUUAUUUUUAAAUGAGGGUGAAACAAGAAAUAAUAGUAAAAAAUUACAUUGAAAAUGCAGAAUGAUAUUUUUUUUUAAACAAAAAAUGAAAUCUAAAACGACAAUUAUUAUGAAACGAGGGAGUAUAAACGAAUAACAUAUGAUAUUAUGAUAUAAAAUAACGUGUUAUUGAAUAAAAAUAUACAUUGAAUGUUGAAAGUGUAUGCAAAUCCAUGUUCAAAAUACAUACGAAUCAAACUAUACUCGAUUCUGCCUUCUAUUAUUUCUUUUUAGAAUAAGUGACUAAUGUAUGAGUAUUUAUUAAGUAUUACUCUAAAACAUUUAUUUUCAUAAUAAAUAAAUAUCUAAAAAUUAAAUAGAAAAUGAUAUUUUUGGGGGCAUUCAGUGUGGUACAACACACACUGAACGUAUCAAUGUUACCAUAGGAUUUCAUGGCUCUAUGCCUCAACUGAACAGAUGCAUUUUUAAAAUUAGAAAUUUAAGUCCUUAUUCCCCCUAUAAUUCUUUAAAACUUUAGAGCUAUUAUGGCUCAUGGAUCCCUCCCAUCAGUACCAAAACUCCCCUUUAUAAAACAGGGACUUAAUUUUCUCAUAAUCAAAAAUCAAAUUUGCUCACCAAUCGAAAAAUUUCUGAGUCUAAAUAAACUUAUAAUUCCUCGGUAUAAAAACGAAACAAAUGAUUCCACAGUAGCCAACGAGAUAGAGCUACAGAAGAAAAGAAGAUCUUUCGGCGGGACCCACGCUUUGUUUGCUGUCAAUAGUUUAUUAAUUACAGCUUUAUUCAUAUUUAUUGUUUGAAAUAGUGACGACGCCUAAUAGAAAAAUGUGUUAAACUUAAGGAUGCGUAAUUAAUGGGCCAAGGAUUUACGAAAAUUAUCCAUGACGACAUGUUCGUUUUGGAUUUUCAGUUUGUUUUUGCCUUAAUAUUUUAUUCUAGCUAGUAUCCGUUAUUAUGUUACCAUAUCCAGAGUAUUAGUAAACAACAUUUUACCUCUUAUCAUUAUAUUACAACAUAUAUAAUAUAGUCUUUAUAUAUUUAUUCAAAAGAUGCGAGUAUGUAACCCACUAGAACACUCAAUCUAGACAGUUUUUAUUUCGACUUUUAAAAAUAAGUGGUGGAACUCUUUACCAAAACUAGCAAAUUCCUUAAUCUAAUCUUUUUGCAGUACAUAAAAUUUAAUCUGUAACAAAACACAACAAAGACCCAAAGUAAAUAAUCCUCGUUAAAAUUGUUAAUUUAGCAUGUUUUCUUUUAAAUAUACUGUAUAAAAUAAAUUACUUAGAUACAUGACUUUUUAAAUCAUUGCAAGAAAACAAAGAAAGAUGGAAAGAGCCUAGAAGAUACCCAUUUCAGUAUUUCACAUUUAAGCAUUUAUUUUCUCCUACUGCAGUAUAAUUUUAAAUUAGGAAAUCUUAUUCAAUAUGUAAACUAAAUAAAGGUUUUUUUUUGUCUACAGAUAAAGGUUUGUAUUUUUUUUUUGUCAACAGAUAAAGGUUUGUUUAAAGUUUGAUAGAAAUUUAUAAGCAGUAGAGUAACUAGAUUUUUUAAAGAAAAGUUUUAGGAGUCAAAAUAUUCGUCUUCCUCUUUCUUUAAAAUGUAUAAAUUUUAUUUUAUUAUUACAUUAACCAAGAGAGGAACCAAAAAAAAAAAAAACUAAAAAAAGGUGAAGAAAAAGCAGAGAAUAAAAGGGAGAGAAGACCGGAUGUUGACAAAUAAUUUCAUGUCACUGUUGAUAGAAGGGUCGUUUGUUUAUGUGAUUUUGGGAUCUUUCUUUUUCUCUCUAUAAACAAACUUCUUUUUAUCGCUCACAAAAAGAAGCAGAAGCAGAAGAAGAAUAAAGGAGAUUUCUUUUCCUCUCCGGAAAUAUUUUGUUUGGUGAGAGAAACAAGAGAGAGUAGAGAGAGAGAGAGAAGAGUGGCCCAGUAGAUCGAAGAUGACGAUCUAAUUUUUUCCAUUAAUGGUGUUUACGCUAUAACUACUAUACCCAUACUUUAUUUUUUCUUUGGUUUCAAUCCCCCUCACAGUAGAGAUUCGAAUUUUUCUUAUUUUGCCUUUGAUUCAGAGAUUUUUCUCUAAUUUCACUUUGUUGAAACUUGUAAAAUCCUCAUUUUUUUCUUGUCUUCUGAAGAAAGUAUCGAGGCGUUGGCGAUAAGAGGAUGUGGGUCUGAGGUAAAAACCCAAUUUUUCUCAACUCUUAAAAAUUGGAUUUUUAUUACUAUUUCUUUCAUUUUCUGUUUGUUUGGUGAUUUGGGGAUUUCAAUUUUCAUCUGCUUAAUUUUCAUUCAGGUUCACUAGAUUAAUGCAUUUCUUCUGUCAAUAUUGGUACAAUCUUGUCCUAAUAUUUUGCAGAUUCCUUGUAAUCUAACUUUAGAUUUUGACUUGAUUAAAAUUUUCUCCGAGAUCCUAUUUUGACUCGUCUGUGUUAGAACUCAUCCACUUGAAGACGACCUUUAGUUAUCACCGAGUCAAAACCCUUAUUUAUAGUGUUUGAAAAAUCUGCGCACAAUUGCUUUGUCUUGGCAAAUGUUUUGACUUUUGAGGAACUGUUGAAGCUAAAUCAGAAAUGGAUUUAUGGUGAUGGAACCAGACUGAGCUCAGGGAGCUAUAAAAGUAUUUGUUUUGCCGGAGGAAAUGUGGUUAAUGCUUGUUGUGUGAUUAGGAUUUGGGGGCCAAUUUCAAUGUCUUUGAAUUAGAUAAGCUCAAGACUAAAGUUGGGUUUUUUGUGAGGCAGGAAUGGGAACAAAGGUGCACUGUGAAAGCGUAUAUCACUCUAUGAGAGAUCUCAACAACGAAUCUAACGGUUGUAGAUGGCCAUUGUUCUACGGUGACAGUAAAACCUCGGCGAAUGAUCAGUCCUACAAUGGCUUCCCUUCCCAGACUACAUUCGAGUAUGACAAAGAUGUGGUGAGAAGGACAAUGCUUGAACACGAAGCUGUUUUUAAGACACAGGUAGAUGAUUCCUCUCUAUGAUCUUUCUUGUUUUUUUUUUUCUGGCUUUGUCAGCUUUUGGUUGAUAUUAUAUCUUUCUGCAUUUUCAUCUUUAACCAGGUUUUGGAACUUCACCGGGUAUACAGGAUACAGAAAGAUAUGAUGGAUGAACUGAAAAGGAAACAGAUGAACAAAGAAUGGGGUCAAUUUGAGGCAUCAUGUUCAUCUCAAGCUACUAAUGAUGAUUUCCGUAGAUGGAAAAUCCCUAGUUUACCUUUGGCAAACUCUGUUUACGAUAGACCAUCCAUGUCGGUAGUUGAAGAUAAUGGCCAUUCUCCCAUGAAAGGAAGUAAUUCUCAAGGGGUCGCUGGUCCAGUUCCAUGGCAAAAUGGAGCCAGUUCCAAAAAUGCCGAAAUGUUGGAGGUUAGACCGACGAAAAUCAGGAAGAAGAUGAUAGAUCUUUGUCUUCCGGCUGAUGAGUACAUUGAUGACAACGAAGAAGUUGUAGAGUUGAAAGAUCACAGGGAUUGUGGCACGUCGAGUCAGCUUCCUAAUGGAGAUGUUGUGAAGACUGAACCUCGCGGAGAUAGUUUGAGAGUUGGUUGUGGGUUUAGUAGUAGAAGCAAUGGUUUGGCUGAUUUGAACGAACCAUUCAAGGCUCAAGAAACAAAUGAGUUUGCUUAUGGCCACUUGCGUAAUGGCGAAUUUCAAGGCCAUAUUCGCGACUACGGAAAAGCCCUGAACUCGAGCAGUGUGAGGGAGCAUGUUCCUGUUCUGCAUCCAGAUGAGAACGGUAAAUCCAAACUCUGGCCACAUCAACCCUUAAGAAUUGGUAAGAUGAUGCACACUAAGUUGUAAAUGCCAACUUUUUGGAUUUCACAUAAAAUUGUUUCUAAUUUUCGAUGUUUUCCAUGUGAAAUCCACCAUUUGCAGAUCAAUACAGUGAAAGGAAUACACAUAAGUCUGCUACUCCAUUUCUUCAACCGGCCAAGCCACUGGAUUUAUCCUCUCAGCCUAUGCAAGUUUUCAUGAACAGCUCACAAAGAGUAAUGGGUUUACCUAAUUCUGGUCCUCAAAGCAAGGCAGUCUUCUGGAGAGAAAGGACGUUUAUUGACUUAGAAGCUGAUACUACUGAUACUAAUAGUAGUCACGAAGUCAUUCAUGAAUCAAGUUUGGCUUCUCAUCAACCACGACACUUAUAUCCAUAUAAUCCUCCAGAUUCUGCUGUCCCGUGGAACCAAUUACAUUCCUCUUGGCAAAAUCCUAGCUUUGGCUUCCCUCAGAGAGUUGCUUCAGCGCAGAGAUACCCGGUUCUAAACCUGUCUGACACGCUGAGUGGUAGUGCUCAGAAACAAGGGUGUCUCGGAGACAGAUUACAGAUUGAAAACAGUUCUAGAUAUAACUCAGGGUCUGGGAAUACCACUCGGUCAAACCACAACAUGUUUUACAAUGAGUGCUCUUCUUCAUCGAAAUCUAAAUUCUCCGGGACUGGCUAUAAUUAUCCAAAUGGAGGAAGAAGUGAUUACACCCCAGCAAAUCCAUUCAUUGAUUCAAAUGGCUCGGAGGUGAAGUUUGUAAGAGAUUUGAACUUAAAUGUGACAUUUUCAAAUACUUCUGUUGUUGAAGUCAGAAAGGAUGAAGAACAUCACGCUACUUUAUCAUGGCUUAUCAAACCCAAGUCUGCUUGUAACUCUGAGGUGGCUGAUGGGAAAUGGAAUCUGAAGAGUAAUGAUGCUGUUCCGAGUUCUUCUUCGAAACCUUCGGAUAACAAAGAGGAGGCAGGAAAGAAUGUUCAGAAUCUUUUGUGGCUUGAGAGUUUAAGGUCUGGUUCUUGUUCCAAAAAACCGGUCACGGAGAAGAUCAAUGCUAACUUGAAAAUUCCUGGAUUUGCUUAUAGAGAACAAUCCGACGCAGAAAGAGAUAAAGUCCAUAAAGUUAGGAUGCUAGACAUCAACGAACCAUGUGAACCUCUCUCGGAUGAAGAUCAGCAAAUGGAGGAACAGACCAGGACAAAUUUUCCGGGUAGUAGUAAUAGGUGCCAGAUUGAUCUUAACAUGUUGGUCAGUGAAGAUGAAUGUGAAAAUUGGUCAGUUCCUACCAGUUCAAGACUGAAUUCAAAGGCACCAAUGAUAGAUCUAGAAGCUCCUGCAGCUCCUGAGUCUGAUGAUGAAGAAGAAGAUGAUAUCUCUGGAAUAAAACCAUCAGGAGAAACUACGAUUGAGGAAAAAACUCUGGAGAACCCGCCCGAGUUUGAAAAGUUAGCAGCAGAAACCAUAGUUGCCAUCUCUUCAGCUUGUCUAGAUAGAGAGCUUGAAGUUGUAGAAGCUCCAGAAACCGUCAUCCUUCACUGGUUUGCAGAAACAGUAGACACGCACAGAGAGAAUCUGGACCAGAAGCUCGCUUCUUUCUCGAGGAAUCAAGCGCGUUCUAUCGAAGAGAUUGAUUACUUCGAGUCAAUGACCCUGCAACUACAUGAGAUCACAGAAGACGAGUACAUGCCUAAGCCAUUAGUCCCUGAAGACCUCAGAUUGGAGGAAACUUGUGGAACAGCGAUGGUCACGAGCCAAAGACCGAGAAGAGGAAACGCGAGAAAAGGAAAACAGAGACGAGACUUCCAAAGAGACAUUCUCCCGGGGCUUCUGUCUCUUUCGAAACACGAAGUAACAGAAGACAUUCAGAUGUUUGAUGGGUUCAUGAGAGCAACGGGAAGCUCCUGGACUCCAACCGGUUUAGCAAGGAAGAAAACUGGUUCAAGAGGAAGACCAAGACGGGUCAUAACAAUCCCUGAACCGGUUUAUUUCCCGGUUCCAGCUCCUUGUCCCUCGGUUGAACAAUAUGUGGGAAAUCAAAGCAGCAAGAAUGGUGAAGUUGAAAUGGUUUUAGAAGAUAGAAGCUUCGCAGGUUGGGGUAAAAUGACAAGAAGGCCGAGAAGACAACGAUGUCCUUCAACUUCAACUGCAGCUGCAAGUAACCAACGUCCAUCAUCAUCACACGCGCCAUACACGUGACAAGAAGAGGAAUAAUUGUAACUUUUAUUUAUAUAACUAUUUUCCUCCAAUCAAUUCUUUUCAAUAAUCGUUGUCGUAUAGAGAGAAGAGAGAGAUAAUUUCAGACUGUUUUGUUUGAUAGAGAUUUUCAUCGAGGAAUUUUUUAUUUUCCAGCUUGGUGAUAUACAUGAAGAUGAAGAUAUUUUUAUUCAUAAAAUUUUCAUCAUUCAGUUUUUUUUCUAUUAGUGUUCGAUUUCAAUAUCAAACCGAGUUUCAAUUCACUUCGGUUCGGUUCACGUAAUUAGUGUGUGGGCCUAUUUCAGUACCUUUGCAAAUAGUAUAUGGCCCAACGAUGUUGCUUUGCGUAUCGUAGGGUGAUGUCACAAGGGUAAUUCUGGAAUGUUGCUUCUGGUUCUCGUCAACAUAGGUCCCACAUAUAUACUGAAAGACCUUUUUACAGUUUACACAAAAUCUCAUAUCUCCGACAAGCUGGAAUUUUGUUUAGCCUUCCCCUUUCGUCCUCUUUGGUUUUGGGACUGUCUCAAGCAUGUUUUCUCGUACCUCUUGCAAGAUUUUAAGGUCAAUUUUCGGUUUUUAGCUUCUUUUUAUUUUGUUUUGUAAGAUUUAAAUUCGUGAUUUGUUGUUUCAAAAGCUUCAAUUUUUGUAAAUUGCAGUGAUUAUCUUCUUCUCGAAGACUGUUUCCGCGUCAAACCGAUCCACCGAGGAGAAAUUAGAAGAAGAUUCAGCAGCAGCAGCAACUCCGAGAUCUUGAGCUCGAAUUUUUCAUUUACAAAGGCGCCUUGUAUGCAGCAUUGGCGUAAAAACUGGGAAAACCAGAGAAGAAACCGAUUGACAUCGAGUACUUUUGCUCAAGCAAUUGGGUUUUGGCCUAACCGUAGAGUCCAGCUCUGGUUAGAGACAAUCGGAGCGUCAGAGCCAUUUUCAGGCAACGCAGCCACGUGUUGGACCAAUUUCAAAGAGAAAGAAGCACUCAAAAGAUACCACGCAAUAACAGGACAUUACUUUCUCUUGCCUGAAUUCGUAGCCUUAGAAGAAGAAGAUGAUGAUGUAAACUGGUUAGGAGCUUCGUCUGAUGCAGACAUUCUCGUGGUGGGUAAAGAUGGGUCGUGCUCAAAAGGCGUGCUCGAAGUGAAAUGUCCUUUUUACGACGGAGAUAAAACACAGGCUUGUCCGUGGAAGAAAGUUCCUUGGCACUAUGUUCCACAAGCUCAGGGUUUGAUGGAGAUUAUGGAUAGAGAUUGGUUGGAUUUGUAUUGUUGGACUGUUAAUGGGAGUAGCUUGUUUAGGAUUGAGAGAGAUUCUGUGUUUUGGGGAGAUAUGAAACUAACGCUUGUUGAUUUCUGGGAGAAGCAUGUUGUUCCUGGGAGAGACAAGUUUAACAGCUCUCUUGUAAUAACAGAUCCUUUAGUUGAGCUGAUAGAUUUUGUGCCUGAAUCUAGACAUGAAAGGUGUAAUCAGAUUUUGCGUGGAACUGAGAGAAUUAUGGAUAACUCUAGGUGUUUGUAUUAUGAAAGGAUUAAUGAGCGAAUGUAGAUUGUUAAGUACAGUUAAGUAAUUGGCAUUCAUGUAUUUAACAUCUCUGUUUCUUCAAGUAUAAUCCUUGUCUUUGUAUGUUUAAUAAUUUUGACACAAAUCAAGUAAAUGAGUCGCAUUAACAUAUCUAAGUGCUCUCUACUAAUUGAAGAUUUGAAGUUACCAAUUUUAUUGGAAUUUUAACUGGUAUCAGUAAAUUAGAAAAGAAAAUGAAACAUAGUCACCAGUAAAAUAAAAAUUGAAACAUGUAAUUUGAGGAACCGGAGGAAACAUAUUUUUAAAUUUAUGAAUCCAAUGAUAUAGAAUAUAAUCAAUUCGAAUCCGAGAGAACCAUUUUCACUCUCUAAUUUUGGUUUUAUGAGCAGCAAUAAAAUUUAGCAUAAACACAAAUUUUUUUUCUGACAUAACAAGGAUAGAUUCAUGAUCUCCAAAGUUAUUAUUACAUCAUACGACCAUACUAAACGAUGCAACAUAAUUACUAAUUAGCGUACUUAGUUAUUUAAUCUUAUUAUUACGCGCAUGAAUAAAACUACAAAUAAAGAUCACAAAUCACUUCAUGAAACCUUGAGCCAUCUUUGCAUAACCUCCCAAGCCACCACCAGACUCUUCAUCGGCUUUCUUAGCUGCCGGCUCCUCAUGACUCGCCGCCGCCGGAUCAUCAUGACUCGCCGCCGCCGGAGGAGGAGCACCGGCGCCGGAAGUAGAGUGUGUAGAUUCGUACUCGUUGAGAUACUUCUCGGCCUUCUCGAGGUACUGACCAGCACCGCUUUUUUCAUCGAGCUUACCGUACUUCUCGGCGGCGUCUAAGAUAUCAGCGCUGGCUCCGGCGACUUUACCCUUGUCGAGUUUGUCGGAUUCGUUACGAGCUGCGGCUUGAGCAGCUUCGGCUACAAUCUUGGCACUAGCCAUGACCUCGGCGGAGGAAGCUGGUCUAUUGGUUGUUUCGGUUCCUUCGACGGGCUUGUUGUGCUCCGGCUCCGCCGUUUUCGUGUCGGAGAGUUUCUUUACCUGAUCAGAGAUGAAGUUCAUCUUUUGGUUUUUUUUUUUCUCGCUGAAUAUAGUUUUUUUUUUGUUGGAUGUAAGAGUUAAGAGAAUGGGAUAUGUGUAUAUAUAGACAGAAAAUGGAUAUUUAUCCACUAUAGGGAUAUUAUUUUUUGUAGUUAAUAACAAUACAAUAUUGUGUACGUAACUCAUUUCUAUAUUAUUAUUUAAGUAGACAUUUUUAAAUAUAAAUUUUAUUUUGUAAAAUAUUACAUGAUAUAUCAUUACAAAUAUCAAAGAAUAAUUAAAUUAAAAAAGGAUAUAGUUAUCUUUCAAAUUUAUUGACAAAAAUAUGGAAAGUCUUUGUUUCUGAAUUUUAAAAUAUGAUAGUUUUUAUAUUUUUGUUUUAAAUAAUAUCAUAAAGUAUAUUUAAUUAAAAAACAUGAAAAUAUUUUGUUUUCACAAUUAAAUAAUAUAAAAGUCAAAACUAAAAUUUAUAAUAUUUAAAAAUGGUGAAAUAUUUUUUACUUUAAUUUGCUAUAUUUAUUUCAUUAUAUAUGAAAUUUAUUUUAAAUUAUUUUUUACCAAAAAAUGACAUGAAAAAAUAAUUUUUAGAAUAAAAAAUUAAUAUUGAAGUGAGAUUUAUUGAUGCCUAUUAUAAUUAGUUUUAUAUUUUAAUCCAGUACAAACAAGUAAACGGAUUAAUUCGGUAUGAAUGAAUUAUAAUUCUAAUUUUUUAAUAUUCACCAAAACAAAUUUUGCAUUUCAAAAUAUUAGUUUUAAAAUAGGUGGUAUAUUAAAUCCACUAAAUAUUAUAAUUUGUCUUUAAGAUUAAAUAAAUUUUGUUGCAUUUUUAUUUAUUAUAUAUCAAAUCUAAGUUUAAAGAAUAUUAUACUAUUUUCAUAUAUUGUUAGAAGAUAAAAAUAUUUUUUUAUAGUUUGUGGACAGAUUAUAAAAUUCAGUUACUAAGCGAUGUAGUUGAUUUUAAUGAUAUUAUAAUAUUUUGUGUAUUAGUUUGAAUAAUAUUUCAGUUUAAUGUUAACGGGUUAAAUGAACAGUUUAUUUUGCUUUAUCUUUUUAUAACAUAUACGGAUUAACUUAAUUUUUAUAAUUCAAACUAAAAAAAAAUUAUAUACGAAUCAACUCAUUUUUAAAAAUUCACAAAAUAUGCACUACAUUAUCAUAAACUUUAUAGAAAUAACUGUUUUUAUAAAAUAACUAUUUUUGUAAAAUGAUUUAACUUAAUUGAAGAUAAAAAAAUGUUUCCAAAAAGAUCUAGUCACUUUAGUUUGUCGUGUUUAAUACUCCUACUAUUUCUUCUUAAUAAUUGUUGUGUAUGUUACAACUUACACAAAUGUGUAUAUCUUUGUAAUUUGUACGUUGAUGAGGUUACCUAAUAGGCUAAUACACUAACAAUUGUUAAUGUCGUUGUUUGUCGUGGCCGAAAAUACAUUUAGGGAUCAGUUAUUACAAAAUAUUUGUGACGAAUGUGCUGUUCUCUUGUCGAUCACACAUAUUAGAUAUUUCUUUUGUGGUGUUCAAUGCAUUGUCCUAUCACAUAAACAUCUAUGAAAUUAUUGUUUUCCAUUGAAGGUUGUCGUGUUGGUGGAAGCUUUGAUGGGUGAUAAAGGCAAUCACUUUAUUUUGUCGGCAGAGUAAUACAAGCUUUUUUUUUUUUUUUUUCUUUUCUAUUAAUCUCCCAGCUUGAUUCGGGUGCCCUAAGCAAAUUAGUUGAGCCCACAAUAAGUGACAUUAGUGACCCAAUAUUUACAUUGUGUUCUUAAAAGUUUUUAAACCCGAUUAGCGUUAGUGACAGAUACAUUUUAGAAAGGGCUCCAUCCGGGUUUUGUUGGCUUCGGUUUGAUAGAAUAGUAAUUAACGCAAAAUGGAAUCUUAUAUGAACCGGUUUGGCAUGAUGUUUAUAUUGGUUUGAGUUUGACUUUAAAUCAAAUAUAUGAAAUUCCAAAAAUUAAGUUCGAUUUAUUUUCUCAAUUUGGAUUUUUUUCUUUUCCUUUUCUAAUUUAAGAGAGAGUAUUAUAUUAUCAUGUGGUGGUUUUAAAUGGGUUCAAUAGGGUACAUGAUAAGCUCUUGAAAACAAAAGAUUUCCUGCAUUUGUAUUUAUGCGGUGGUGUCUGUUGGUUUUCUUAUGCUUCCAGGACCGUAUAAAGUCACUAUAAACAAGACAUCUGAAGCAAUGAUAUUUUUGGUUUUUCAGCUACCCAUGAAAACCAAGCUGAAGACGAUGAUGCUGCUCACGUUGAGGCGUUGGCCUCCCCUCCGGUCCUGAUAUCACUACCCGAGGUACCGCAGACCCCGAUAUGCCGGAUUGAUGCUUUUUGGAUCAAUCACGGACAGGUUAGCGGCCUUGGUUGGAGUUUUAAGGAUGACAGAGGAACAGAGAUUUUUGGUCUACAGAGAUGUCGUAGAAGUCUCUCGGCUCUUCACGCCGAGAUGGAUUGCCUCUUAUGGGCUAUGUCAUGCCUGAGAGAAAUACAGAUGACGUCGGUGCAUUUUUAGACCGACUGCUCGGAUCUUGUGAGCAUGUGUGAAUCACCAGCAGACUGGCCAUCUUUUAAGACAGAAUUGGAAUCCUUUUGUAUACUUCGCGAGAGCUUCUCAGAGUUUACCUUAUCCUAUAUUCCGAGAAUUCAAAAUGUCCGGACGGAUAGUCUUGCAAAAUGAGCUCGAGCGAGAGGAGUUAUUUUUUCCCAAAUCGAUCAUAACGAGCCGGUCGAAGAUGGUUUUCAAACCACUUCUAAGAUAGGCCAAAUGUGAUUGUAAUAGUUGGAUAGCGGAAAAAAAAAAGCUACUAAUGAAUUUUUUUGAUAAAACUGUUGAACGACGUAAGAUAUGAUGGAUCGAUUCAAGAUAUUCUACGGUCUUUCUUUCUGUUAGAAUUUAUUUUAAUUAAUUUUUGGUUGAAAUAAGUUAAAAAAGCUAUUUAUAUUUUGAAAGCUCACAUUCAAAUUAAUUGAUUUAGUUCCAUUUUUGGUCAUAGUUUUAAAACCACCUGUUAUUUAUAAAAAAAUUUCAAUGGCAUACAAAUAUUUUGGUAUUUCAGCACUACUUGAAAUAAAAAUACCAAGAUAAUUACGAAAAUUGGUUCGAAAAAAUCAUAUGUAAAACUCGUUGAUCCAAAUCUGCUGCACUCUGUUUUCGCUGUCCCAUAUGCACAAAAACCACACAAGAUAAUCUUAAGGUAAUUUCAAGAAACUUCUUGUUGUUUCUAAAAUUAAAUGCAGAUCUGUUUUUUUUUUUUGUUUUGUUGUUGCUCUUUGCCUUAUUGAUGUUUCUUUCUUUCUCUUUGUAUGCAGCAUUGUCUAUGGCUUUUUGUGUCUAACAUCAGUGGAUCAAGCUGAUCAACUGGCAGAAAAAACUCAAAUCUUUCAAAGAUGGAAACUUUUUUUUUGUUUUUCCUGUAAAUUAUCCAAACUUUUAAUAAAUGUUACUUUUGUGAUUUUUCUAUGCAACAAGAUUUGAAAGAACAAUGUUUCUUCGUUGUGUAGCUAUCAAAAGGUGUCUUUGGCGUAAGAAUCAGAGGAGAACAUUUUCCACUAAUCUCCAAAUAUCUCAAGUGCACUCCAACAUAAUUGGAGAAGCAAUAGGUUUGAACUCCGGGGAUCGAGUGAGACUCUAGGGAUUGAUUAGAAUAAGCAACAUUUCCUUAUCUCCUUAGACUUCAAAUUUUUUUUUUCUUGACAAAAGCUUCAAAAACAUUUAUAACAUUUUUUCAGAUAAAAGUGACUUUACUAUUUAUGUUGAAUGAAUUAAAUUUGUUGAUGAUACAUGUGAAGAAAUUUAAAUAUACACUUUGUAAUUAUAAGGAAUGAAUUCAAUUAUGUGCAAACGUAGGACAGUGGAUAUAAGCACUAUGAAGUUUAACUAUCUGUAAAUGUUCUAAUUUCAAAGAAUGAAAAAACUACUUUCCUAAAUUAACAUGUGACGAGUCAUAAUCAUAGUGUUGAAUUACACUUUUAUUUGUCUUAGGUAAACGUUUUCUCUCUGGAGACUGUUAAGAUCCAAUGGAUGACUUUGAAACUUAUUGGAGGAUAGAUCAUCAUCAAGUGCAUUCAAACAAAAUUGGCCAAGCAAUAGGAUUAAUCUUUGGGGAUCGAGUACCUUUGGGUAGACCUCAUUGUUGCAAAGCCUCCUUCUAAUAGUAACAGUGGUUAGAUACCAGAAUCUAUUCCCAAAAAGAUUGUGAAACCUGCAAGAUUUGAGAGUUUCUAUGGACAGUUGCCGGAUGAAAUCUUUAUACACAAUAUUCAAAGAUAUGGUGUAUAUGAUAAGUAAACAAUAAUUUUUUGAUGAGUUAUAAGUAUCCUACCAUAUAAAUGAGAAUUUUAAAAUCUCUGUACACAAUUCAAAGCUUGCAGAAUUUUUUAUUUUAUUUUGGUAAAAAAAGCUUGUAGAAUUUAAUUUCAAUAAAGAUAAUUCGAAAACAAAUAUUUGAGGAUUUUUUCUCCCUUUCAUAUGGUAAAUUUCGGUUUAGUCUGGCUAUAGCCGGCCAAUAUAGUUGGUAUUAACUUAUUUUGUUUGGUUGGUUAAUGAUUUUUAUUUGAUUUUGGGUAAAAAUCAUAUGUGGUCUUAAACUAUUAAUGUUUCUCGAAGCGUUUGUUUUAUGAAAUCAAUGGGCAAAUUUUAGGUUAAAGACAAAUAGUUGGCGUUCAUUAAUUGAAUGGUGGAGUGGUUUCUGUAAUAUCAUUUCUCACACACACACACACGCACAUACACACACUAUAUAGCUACAAAUAUCUGAGAUCCUCUGUUUUAGUGUCAGAAACAGAGACAUGCUUUUCCAGGGAUUUUACCGGUAGUACGGACAAUUCCGGCUUUCUCCUUAACCUUGAGCUCUUCAUUCUGCCUUUGUUUCUCCGCCUGAGCUCUGGCUCCGGCAGCAAUCUGUUCAAUGUAUUCUGUGUCUUCUCUAAAUCUCUGCAAACCUCUCUUCCUCCUCUGUUCUAGUUCGCUCUGCUGUUCAUGUACCAACCGGUUAGAGACAAAAAUCUCAAAUCAUCAUUCAGUUAAAUGAUCAUGAGAUUAGAUUGAAAAAAAAAAAAAUUCAAACUAUAUUAUCAACCUCGGAUUUGUCCAGCUUCCUUCGAGCUUUGUCUCUCUUCUUCGUUUCCCACAGAUCGAUCUUUCUGGUUAACUUGUCGUACCUGCUUGUGUGAUACAUAUGUUAGUGUAUGAACAACAAACAUAUAUUAAGUAUUUUUUGUGAGUAUUGAGUGUAAUUACCUUGCUUCGAUCUUAAGUAGUUCAGCUUUUUCCCAAGCAUCAGCUGUAGAUUCAUCUUUUCGACUAGUAUAUCCAGAACUCUGUCUUUUGAUAUCCCUCGGUGGAAGCCGCAGAGGUGAAGGUGAUGGAGGAGGUGGUGGGGGUCGAGGCGGUGGUGGAGCACGGCGUUCUGAACGUGUCCUUUGCGGUGGUUGUACCCGCAUUGGAGCUUGCGGUUCAGAAACUGGUUUUCUUUGUCGUCUUUCCUGUUUCUCCCCUGAGUCUUCACUCUGUUUGGUGUGAUCACCUCUCAGGUCCAUGGAGAAAGUCGGAGUCUUUUUGGCCGGCGUUGACUUUCUCACUGGAGACUUUAGCGUGGGAAUUUUGUGUUCUUUAAGCUCUGGUUCUUUAAAUGAAAGUUGUCCUGUAUGAUCAACACAAUUGUUUUUUUUUUCUCUAACAUCAAGAUACAUUUUCAGUUAAACAAAAAAAAAAUCCAAUCUUUGAGUUAUUCUGUAACGUCACCUGAGAAUCUUCUUGAUAAGCUUCUCGGUUCCUCGAAAUGCGACAGAUCUUCUCUUCUACUUUUGCUCGUUGACAAAGAAGCUCCACGUUCAAGGCCACUCUGUUUUGUUUAAAAAUUUUCAGUUAAAAAUGCUUACUUUAAUUAGCCUUAACAUAAAUUCAUUUGUAGAGCACUUACAUGAUAACUCUCAAGCCAAGUUUCUUCAAAAGUGGUUAUGGCAUAAGCAGUGGCUGCAACUGCAGCUGCGUGGUCCAUGUCGCUGAUCGGUUCAUAACUUUGGUCGUUCAUUUGCCUCGAGAACUGCUUCUGUAACCAGUUUGAGGGCUUUUUCUUAUCUACCAACAAUGAACACACAAACAUGAUAAGUCCUAAGGUGAAAUUAAUCAAGCAUCAAGAAAAACAGAGCAGAAUUUUGUGGCACCUUCUUUGAAUGAAACAGAUUUCCUUGCUGGCACUUUCUUCUCUCUAGUGGAGCUACUAACCUCUCCAGUUUUUACCUGGGCAGCUGGGUGCCUCCUUCUGAGACCAAGAUAUCAAGUUUUUACAUCAAUAUGUAUGUAUAUGUACGUGUGGUUGAAUACAAAAGAUGUAUUUGGAGAUUUAGUAUUUUACCUUGUUUGCUUGAUCAAGCUAUCCAUUUCAAUCUAAAAUAUGGUGGGAGGACUUGAGAAGGUUUGUUUAGCUGAGUUUGAUGGUUUUGGGUUUUGAAGGGUUUUUGAGAUUAUUGCUUUGCAUGCAAGUUUCAGAUUUGGAUCAUAAAGGUGUAUACGUUAAGUAAAGAACACAUUUCUUUCUUUUCCCUCUUUGCCUUUUUGGUUCUUUGCUUUCUCAAAAGGACAGUGAAAAGAACAAACCAGAUACCUUCGAUUCAAUUUUCAUAUAUGGAUAAGGAAUCUUUUACAUGCAGAAAACACAUCAAGUACAAUCUUGCUUUAACAAAGAAAAUGAAUCUUACAAAACCAGAAAUCACGGUGAAAAUUCCUGUGUGUAAUAAAGUUUUUUUAAUAUGCAUAACUAUUUACUAAACAAGGAGGUCUAUCUCAGAAAGUUCGAGGACCUUAUGUGCGCCAAUCGCCUUCACGUCUGUUUUGAAGGCGUUUCCUUCUAUGUACCUGCAACAUACAUCCACCAAGAAUUAAGUUAUAAAACAUGGGUGAUAUAUAUAUAUAUAUAUAUAUAUCUUUACAAAGAGACCUUAGAGAGGUUGUGAACCUACAUAUUCUUUAGGUUUGGGUGAUUGUAGAAAGCAUCAGGGAUUCUUCCACUGAACUGAUUGUGGUCCAAGUGCCUGAGGUUAACACAGAACAUGCUAUAAGGAUGCAGGAGAGUACAUAGGUCUUUCAGAUCAAUUGUAAAGUUACGAAUAUAGAAUAAGACUUACAAGUAGGUUAGUCUUGGUAAUUUGGCAAGUGCAGAGGGUAUUGUUCCAGUCAUUUUGUUGUAAGAUAAGUACCUAGACUUGAAAGGAUAAGAUAAGGAGAGAUAUAAUUUGCAAGUGGCGUUCAUAAUUAAAAAAAAAAGUGAUCAAGUACUCACAAGAUCUCCAGGUUUGUUAGAUUUGAAAGCUUGUUUGGGAGUCCACCAGUGAAGUAAUUAUUAUUUAGAAACCUGCAGCCAGAAUGUAACUUGGGACAAAGUCACUUGUGAUGGCUAACUCUCAAACUCACUUACAGGUUUCUAAGAGCUGGAAAGCAUCCUUCUAUGCGUAAAAGAUCUCUUAUACUCCCGACUAAGUGAUUGCUGCCAGCAUCCCUAUAGACAUGCAGACCAUGACAAAAAGAUACUAAGUAUAUCUGUAAUCUGUUGGUUGAUCUACAUAAGAGAGCAUUGAAUGUAAGAGAUUACAGGUGGCGAAGCUUUUGUAAUUUUCCCAGCUCUGCUGGAAUACGCCCAGUAAAAUGAUUAUCCUGAAAAUGUAGGUAUUGGAGCUCCUUGAGAUUUGAUAGUUCUUUGGGGAUUUCUCCUUUGAAAUUGUUAAAGCUCAGGUACCUGCAUUAGUGAGAUCAUGUUACAUAGCUCAAGGAAACCCCUUCAAUGAUAUUCUUCCCUGACAAGAGUUAGAAUUACUUACAGAAAAGUUAGAAUUUUCAGCUGACCAAUUUCAGGAGGCAGGACAUGUUGAAGUUUGUUCCACCUCAAAUUCCUGUUUGCAAUACAAAUCAGAAUGCAAAACAAGAUCAAGAGAAAGCAAGCAGCCACGCUGUAUUCUUCAAACAACUAAUAUACAUUGAGAUCAUUGUGGAACUAAUAAAGUGUGUGAAGAACAUUACAGUGACUUAAGGCGCUUUAGCCGCCCAAUUUGCGGAGGAAUCGGGCCUGUCAAUUUGUUGUUGUGCAGAUCCCUGCAAAAUUCAUAAAGCAAUUCCUUCAAACAUUCAUACCCUGAGCUAUGGAUUUGUUUCCACCUUAGAGAAAAUGGGUAGCACUAGAACUAACAAGAACCCAAAAGUUUUCAUAUCCUCAACAAGAAACAGAUUGCAAAGUCCAUGAAGCUUACAGAACAGUGAGAUCUAGGAGAUUCGUUACAGCCGUUGGGAAAGUCCCGCCUAUCGACAUUGCAAACACUUCUCUGCAAAGAUCACAAAUACACUUAAGUGAAAAAAAUCAAAACUUUAAAAAAUUCAGAGUUUUUGAGUCAAAGGUUACAGCUUUGUGACGACACGGUAAUUUCCGACGGUGGAGCAAGUGACACCUGUCCACGGAGGCAAAACUCCAUUGCCGCAAGGAUCAUCUCCAACCCAAGUGUACACCACUCUCCAUCCGACCAAACCCUUUAUCUCAUUCAACGCUUUCACUGCCACACAACGAAAUAAAAAAAAACCCAAAUCUCUCGCUGAAUCAGAAAACCCCAUCAGGCGAAAAAAUCACAAUUUGGAAACAAUUAAAUGAGAGAGAGAUCGGGAAAACUUACAGUCUCGUUGGAGCGUUUUAGCGAGGGAGACAUUGAUCAGCAACAAAAGAGCGUAAACCCGGAAAAUCAGCGACAAGCUCAAACUCAAAUGCGCCAUCGAUAAUUCGAUUAUGCUGCGAAUGAUCUGUAGAGCCUACGAAUCAUAAAACUUUCGUGGAAUAAGAAGAAGAGUAAAAUCGAUUUUAUAAACUCGGCCAGUGAAAUGGUGUGGGAGAAGGAAGAAAUAUUUUACAUCGCCAUGGAAAGCAAGCUCAGUGGAAACAAAGCGAACCCGGCAUGCACAAAACGGUUGAAAUUCCUCAAACUAAAUUUAUUUUCAUAUUAAAAUUAAUUUAUUUACUUAAUUUCCUUAAACAGGCCGAUAUGGCCCAUAUUCAUGGGUUUAGAUAUGCUCAAGAGGCCCAUCUUCGGGGAAGGUGAUAUGUCAUAAAUCAGUAUUGGUUUUAAAAUUAGCUUUACAUCAAUAAAUCAAAUCCAUCCAAUCAGAGCGAACGAGAAAACGUCGUCGUGUUAAAUCACUGUUUAUAUCUUCCUUCUCCGGCGCUCCGGCAACAAUAAUUCUUCCUUUCCUCCGUCGCAAUGAUCGGCAAUUUCUCUUUCUUCCUCGUCCUCUUCGUAUCUGUCCUCGUUUCCUCUGCUAAUGCCAAGGAGACACUUUCCAUUUCCCCCAAAACUCUGAAUCGAUCUGGCGAUUCCGUCGUCAUUCAAUGGUCCGGCGUCGAGUCUCCGUCCGAUCUCGACUGGCUAGGCAUAUACUCGCCGCCGGAGUCUCCUCAUGAUCAUUUUAUUGGUUAUAAAUUUCUUAAUGUUUCCUCCACGUGGAAAUCUGGUUUCGGCUCCAUUUCCCUUCCUCUGACCAAUCUCCGAUCAAAUUAUUCUUUCCGGAUCUUCCGAUGGACCCAAUCCGAGGUCGAUCUAAAACACAAGGAUCAUGAUCAGAAUCCUUUACCAGGAACGAAACAUCUUCUAGCUGAAUCGGAGCAGUUGACUUUCGGAUCCGCCGUCGGGAUGCCGGAGCAGAUCCAUUUGGCGUUAGGCAGUAAGGUUAACAGGAUGCGGGUUAUGUUUGUAGCUGGGGAUGGAGAAGAACGUUUCGUGAGAUACGGAGAGGCGAAGGAGACGUUAGGCAACUCCGCGGCGGCGCGUGGGAUUAGGUACGAGAGAGAGCACAUGUGCGAUUCUCCGGCUAAUUCCACCAUCGGAUGGAGGGAUCCUGGUUGGGUUUUCAAUACCGAAAUGAAGAAUUUGAAUGGAGGCGUUAGGUACUACUAUCAGGUAAACAAAUCCGAACCUUUAAAUAUCAAUUUCUUUUGUCUAGAUUUUGAGGCUUAUUCAUGAAGAGAAUCAUUUGGGUAGUGUAGUGUAUCGUUGUUGGAUUAUAAGAAUAUAUCAAAGGUCAUGUCUUUGUGACAGGUUUUGCAAGGAAUAUGGUUUGUGAUUACAGGAGUGAUAGAUCAUCUGUUUUGAUUGAUCAUGUGAAUCAGGUUGGGAGUGAUUCAAAGGGAUGGAGUGAGAUCCAUAGCUUUAUUGCUCGAGAUGGCUACGCUGAAGAAACCAUAGCUUUCAUGUUUGGAGAUAUGGGUUGCGCUACACCUUAUACGACGUUUAUCAGGACACAAGAUGAGAGUAUAUCAACCGUGAAGUGGAUCCUCCGUGACAUUGAAGCUCUUGGUGACAAGCCAGCUCUUGUUUCACACAUUGGAGAUAUAAGUUAUGCUCGUGGUUACUCGUGGGUGUGGGAUGAGUUCUUUGCUCAGAUCGAGCCUAUUGCCUCGAAAGUUCCUUACCAUGUCUGCAUUGGUAACCAUGAGUAUGAUUUUCCUGAUCAGCCGUGGAAACCAGAUUGGGCAGCUUUCACUUAUGGAACCGAUGGUGGCGGCGAAUGUGGUGUUCCGUAUAGUAUUAAGUUCGACAUGCCUGGAAAUUCAUCAGAACCAACGGGAACGAAAGCUCCUCCGACUAAGAAUCUAUAUUAUUCUUUUGAUAUGGGAUCGGUCCAUUUCGUUUAUAUCUCCACUGAGACGAAUUUCGUUAAAGGAGGCAGUCAAUACGAAUUCAUAAAGCGGGAUCUAGAGUCUGUAAACAGGAAGAAAACGCCGUUUGUUGUUGUGCAAGGACAUAGACCGAUGUACACUACGAGCAACGAGGUUAGAGACACUAUGAUUAGACAAAAGAUGGUUGAGCAUUUGGAACCGCUGUUUGUGAAGAACAACGUGACACUUGCUCUAUGGGGUCAUGUUCAUAGAUACGAAAGGUUUUGUCCGAUAAGCAACAACACUUGUGGCAAACAGUGGCAAGGAAACCCGGUUCAUCUUGUGAUUGGUAUGGCUGGUCAAGAUUGGCAACCGAUUUGGCAGCCGAGACCAAACCAUCCAGAUGUUCCCAUAUUCCCUCAGCCUGAACAAUCAAUGUACCGUACUGGUGAGUUUGGAUACACUCGUCUAGUUGCAAACAAAGAAAAGCUCACUGUUUCAUUUGUGGGUAACCACGACGGAGAAGUUCAUGAUACCGUUGAGAUGUUAGCAUCUGGGGAAGUAAUCAGUGGGAGCAAAGAGGGCACUACUAAAAGCCCAAAUCUUAAAACCAUUCCUGCUUCAGCUACGGUUUUGGGAAAAUCGGAAUCUAAUGUCUCGUGGUAUGUCAAAGGAGCAAGCUUGAUGGUUAUGGGCGCGCUUUUAGGGUUCAUUAGCGGAUAUUUCACCGGAGGAAAGAAAGGAUCUGCAUCUGCUAACCGUUGGAUCCCAGUCAAGAACGAGGAGACAUAAUAUUAUUAGCUGAAUCUAUUUAGGGGCACGAUUUGUAUAGUAUCUUUUUUUCCCACGUUAAGAACCAGGCUUCUAAAGUUGGGAAGAAAUUAUGAGUUUUUGUACACUAAUAAUACUGAUUUGUAUUUCUUCUUACACCACUCUACGAUGUCACAGUUUAAAGGGCUUUUGGUGUACAUACAUAUGUUCUGUAUGAGUAUAAAAAAUUUAUUGAAGCUUCUAUAUCUGAAUUGCACAGUAUGUCCGAUCCAGGUUUAUGUUCGGUUUUUCUUAAAGUUUUAUCUUUUUAAGGAAGGUUGUAAUCAAAAUGAAACCGAAUUUAGUAUGGAUUCAGAAUUACAAAUCAUUUUAUUUUGACGACUUCGAUUUUUCGGAUGAAAAGGUAACCUUAUGUUUGACCCAAUAAAGAAAGGUAAUCCGUAACUGCGCAACAUCAUUUUAGCCAGAAUGAGAUUUGGUUUGGCAAUUCAUAGAUGAUUUGAUUUGGCCUGGUUUGUUAGACUAUGUCGGUUAAAAUUUUUGUUUUCCCGCGAGAUCAAUAAGGUGGAUGCUUUUACAUUCUUUUCAAUUCUAAACAUGAAAAUGAAAACAAAACAAAUUCUAUCAAAGCCUUUAAAACACGUGAGAUUCUCCUACUAUGUCUUAAAUUGAAUUCUCUUAGAUUCAAUUAAAUUCCAAGAUCCAAUAACCCCCCCUAAGUCUAAAUACUCUUGUAACUUGUUAAACUGUUUGAAAAUUCAAAAAAGAUUGCUUUAGCUAGGAAAUUGAAUGAAAUGAGUUAAUAUUGACAAUUUUUACAGCAAAGAAUGAACAACGAAGAAAAUUUGAACUGUACGAACGUAAAGAGAAAAAAAUACGAAUAGGAUUUUAGUAAUUUGUUUUUGAAAGGUGUUUAUUUGGAAAGCAAGUGACGUGCGCGUUGAUUAGCUCCUUUAACACGAGAGUUGAGCUCAUCAACAUCGUCGCCGAGAUGAUCAAGAGCCUUGUUUUGCCUGCAAAUUUCCCGCAAAUAAUAAUAAUAAUAUAAGUAUUUCAUAAACAUACCGUAUAAAAAUGUAUGAAAAUACGUGUGCAUUUGUGUGUAUCUGACUUCUCGAGCUCAGAUCCCAUAUCAACGGCCAUGCUCUUAAGAUCACCCAAAAUGUCACUUAAAUCUGAAAGUCCAUCGUCUUGCUUUGCCUUCUCUUGCUGCAAAUAAACCAUCGUAAAUACUUUUCAUAAAUUAAGCAAUUAAGAUUCACAAAUUUCUGCAAAAUUAGACACAAACCUCAACUUUCUGCAACGCAUUUGUUGGUUGGUUCAACGGUGGCGGUUGGCUGCUCGAUCUUCCUUUCCCUCCCAAACCGAGUUUCUCUCGCUCUUCCUUGUGAUUUCCGCUCUUCUUCGAUGCUUUAUCUAAAACAUUCCACAAAAAACAUGAUCACCAUAAAACAUGAUUCUUUUAAUUCAAUCAAGAAUGAGAUUCGGUAGCGUUUAAACAACAAAGAUAGAAAUGACAUGAGUUAGUUAACGAGGUCUCUAAUCUUACAAACUGAAAACAACAUACACAAUUUUAGAAUCUAGUCUCUUAAAGGUUUCAAGCAAAAGGGUCAAAACCUGGUGUGAUCAUUGGUCCUGCGAUCUCUUUACUCUUCUUCGGUUUCCAUGGCUUAGAGAACAUUCCUCCUAAGUUGUUCAAAAGCUUCUCUCCCUGAUCUCAAUAAAAACACUUUAACCAUAAAUAAAGAACAGAUCAUUCCUUUCUAGAUUGAAAAGAGAAAGAAAAGUUUACCCGACUGAGAUCUUUGUCCAUUUCAACAGCCAUAACAUGAGUCCUGUUGAUCUGUUCACCUUGCGUGUGCAACAUUUCGAGCGUUCUUGUAGCAUCCGAUUUGAUAUCUUCAGCGAUCUUAAGACAAUUGUUCACACCUUUGGUUGUUUCUUCGGCUUUAUAAACCGCAUAGUUCUCUAACUCUUCUGUCGUUUGGCUCUGCAGACCACCGGAAUCGCGGAAACCGUUUUUAUAUUUGUCUUCAUCGUCGAAAUCAGGUGUUAUCAGGAUUGGUUCUGAAGAAGUUCUUCUUCCUGCAUUGAUUGUUCCUCCUUUGUUGUUUGAUGAUUCGUUGGGAAGCUUGUUGUUCCCCGGAGAUUUGAAAAAUCCAAACAUCUAUUGACAAUGUGAGAAGACUACUGAUCAAUGUUUUCAAGAAAAUGGCAUUGGUGAUUUGCAGAAAAUGAUAAAAUAUUUUGAUAAAGUUUUGAUUAGGACGCGGUUUAAGCCAACGGUUUACCUGUGAGAAAUCUCUGGAGAAGACGAGAGAGAGAGAAAAGAUUCGGAUUAAGAAAAAAAAUCCAGAGAAAGAAAAAGGAAAAUGGUUAUCCAAAAAUAGAAACCUGUGACAAAAGAUGUGAGUUUCAAGAAUGGAUCAAAAGAAUGUUUAGUUAGAUUCUCUCUCUGUUUGUUUACCGUUGAAAGGAUCUAGGGAUGAAGGGAGACGCGUCGGAGAAGGAGAAGUAAUCAGCCACCACGUCACGUUCUCUGUUUCUUUCUACACAGUUAAGAGUCUCUGUUCUGUAACUACCAGACACUCUGUUUUCAAGAUCUUUAAGGAUAGUUUAAGGUACAAGAAACUAAAGAAAUUGAUUACAGAUGAAAAAAGUUAGUUUAUUAAACAGUUUUGAAGAUUUUUUUCUUCUUCUUACAAGAAAAUCUAAUUUACAAAGGUAAUAAAUAAACUACAAUAUAAAAGAAAAACAACAAUCUAAUUUAUUUUCAAAUUUGUUUUCUAACUUUUUACAUUCGAAAUUUAUUGACGUAUGGGUCUUGGCCAAAGAUCUCGUCGAUGAUGUUUGAAGUUGGAAGCAGAUCAAUGUUCUUAUUCCAAAAAUGAUCUGGCAGAAUCGAAUCACAAGGAUCAAACGAAUACGAAUGAUCCACAAGAUCAUUGCAGUGGCGCCAGUAAUUCCCAAUGUUGGAUUCUUCUCUGCUUUUAACUGGACAUCGAGAGUAGCUUACAUUGGACUGAAACUCAAAUGACAUGUACGAAUCUUCUUCCACAUUCACCUCUUCUUCUUCUUCGUCCCUUGAUAGGCUUUUCCCAGUUUUCUCAUCUGGAGUUUCCGCACCACCAAAGGUGUUGUCAUACUCCACUUGCCACUCGUCAUCAUCACUAUCAACGUCCAGGCUUUUAGAUCGAUUCUGGACAGCUCGUCUCCGCAGGAUGAAGACAUUGAAAUAAUAGCUCACAAUUUCCUUCAUGGUUCGUGAAGGAAACGCAGACUUCAGGUGUUUCCAGAAAUCCCGGUCCAGUGAAACCGGAUUGGAGUAAACAAUCUCGUGAAAUAGAUCUCCUCGUCUUCACUAGUUUACAGCAACUUCCUCCCCUUUCACCGAGACCUAUGUUCAGACAUCUUUCAUGUCCAACAGUUUCAAACAAGUCCUCUCUGUUUUCCAUGAUAUGCUGCUGCACACAUCUGAUGGACCCUUUAUCCAGGCAAAUGCAUUCCUUUCUUCCUUUACCGAUUUUGCAGACCUCUGUUUCACAGUCAGGCAUUGGAAUUAUGCACUUCCCCAUCACUUGUUCUUCAUCACUCGACUGGCCCCUGACUUCUUCCUUGACACAUUCAGGAAUAUCAGCCUGGUACUCUGACCCGAUUGGAACUGGUUUUCUAGGAGACAUCUGACACCAAUCAUCAUCAUCUGCUGGGAAAAUUGGUCUCCAGGGGAAAUCUGACUCGGGAGAUCCAUGAGAAAGGGUAGACUGAGUCGUCGCACCAGACAGAGAAUCCUCCUCAAAACCGGUUGUGGUCCAAGAGAAAGGUGCAUUGCUCUCAAACCCCUUCUCAACAUAAUACUCACAUUUGAACCCGUAGAGGUCACUUGGAUCCUCUCCUGUUAGUGAUAAGCAAGACAAACAGCAAUUAAGAAAGAUGCUCGAGUUUAUCAUGUUAACCCCUCUGCAAGAUGCAUAUUAUUAUUACCUAUGACAACACCUGAAUUCUCUAAUGAUUCACGAUACGGAACUCCUUCAUCUAGUUUGGCCAGCUUAUUGCAAAAACUAAUCUGUCUUGCAUGCUUCACGUUGUGCUCUCGCACAUCCUCAGCGUCAAAAGUGCGCUUAAAACCCAUAUUAACCUGUCAAAUGAAAACCACAAGCCAUUUAAUUACUUGGCGUGAAGGUUAUGUUAUCUAUGUCAACUGCUUUUUAAUGAACAUCCACAGAUAAACACUAACAAGUGACAAACAACUAUUAAGUCUAUAAAGGUGAGAGCUCUAAGACCCCUGUUAAUUUAAGGAAACUAAAGUAUAGAGAAAAAAUAUUAACCCCAAUUUUAUACGAGUAAAUUAAAAAAAUCCCCAAAUUUGAAGCCCUAACCCUAGAAUACAAUUCGCGGCUGAAAUCACCAAAUCACGGAUCAAAAAUCAAACAAUCGAUUACUUCUCGGGGUAAUAGACAAAAGCCCUCGAUUAAUUGACAGAUCUGACAAACCCUGAAACAUCAAAGUCAACGAGUUCCCAACUCGGAUAAAAAAUUGGGGAAAACUAGAAAUUAAGACGAAUCCGAUAAUAACAUCGAAAGAAUUCAACAUCUAAACAAGAGAUUGAUCAGAUCUGUAGUUUAAAGAUCUGGAUCUAGAAAUUCGAUGACUCAAACCCUAGAAUUGACAACAACGAAUGGAUGAUAUCAAUACGUAUAUCAAUUGAUUGAUGAAAUCAAGAGGAAAAAGAAUAUUACAAUAGAUUUGAAGAUCGAUCUGGAAGAAGGAAGGGAUCUGCAACUAAUUCGAAGAAAAUUUUGUAGGAAAAAAAUAAUUUGGGGGAAUUCGGAAAGGGGCUAGGGUUGAAAAUUCGUGCUUUUCGAUUAGGGGAAGACCCGACUUUGAAACCCGGAUUAAAUUCGGAUACCGAGACAACAUCGAAUGAGCUGUACCUUAUUAAUUUUUUGAAGCACUCGAAAUGACAAAAUUAUCCUCGCCGUUUUCCAGCACGUGCCUAGCAACUUGCUUUGGCAUAUCCUCGUAUCUAUCUUCUAAACCGAAACAUAAUAAUUUUCGUCGACAUAAACUGAUACUUAUUUAGACAAACCGAACCAAGCGAAUUGGACCGGUUUAUAAUCUAAUUAUCAUAAGCCCUAAAUUCCCAGAUUAGAUUCUCUCACGCGACCAUUUUCAAGCUCCCGAUUUUAAGCUUCCGGUAUCGCACUUUCGCCGAGUAGAUUCCUUAUUCUGCCUCUCUUUGUGUUCCGGAUUUAUAUAGCUCUUCGUAGCAUCCAGAUAUUAACCGUCGCUGAAUCUGCUCGUGAUCUGAGUAACUCCUAUUUUCUUGGGUAAAUUUUUCGCUCUGAUAAUGCUUGGGUUUGCUUGAUUUUUCGUGAUCCAUUGAUCUCUGAUUUUACUUGUGGAGUAGCUACUGAAAGGUGGAUGCUUUAAACCGAUAUGAUAUUUUUUAGCUACUAGGUG